rnacentral:lncRNA from 1 species
GAAUCAUCAUUGAAAUUGAUAUUAUGAUACAUAUUCUCAACUGUUGAAAAUUAUAGGCAUGUAUGAUCGAUUCCUAAAUUGCUCUUAAUCAUAGGAUAGUCAUGGAGAUGGUGAUCAAUCUGAAUAGGUCGGUGCAUGGUUCGCUUCCUUCAGGAUAGAUGAGUCUCUAGUCUACAGUGUAGAGACACUGAGCGGUAAGUACGGAUAGUUGUUAAAGAAUAAUUAGUACUAAGUGUGACCAUACGAG